rnacentral:rRNA from 1 species
UGAGCAAUCUGCCCUUCUCUUCGGAAUAAGCGUGGGAAACCGCGUCUAAUGCCGAAUACGACCUCCUUUCGCAUGAUCGGAGGUGGAAAGCUCCGGCGGAGAAGGAUGAGCUCGCGGCCUAUCAGCUAGUUGGUGUGGGUAAUGGCCCACCAAGGCGACGACGGGUAGCCGGCCUGAGAGGGUGACCGGCCACACUGGGACUGAGACACGGCCCAGACCUCCGUACGGGAGGCAG